UAUCUAUAGGGGCUAACCCAGAAGGCUUCCCUUCUUUCUCAUACCUGAGAAAAACAUUUAAGAUAAGGACAUGAACAGAGAGGCAUGUAUGUAUACACACAGACACACCUAUUAUAUUAGGCGUAUACCUCAGAGAUAGCCUGUCCAGGUAUGUCUCUCGCACAAUCGGAAACCAUUUAGGGAACUGAUCAAAUAUCCACGAUACCGCAAACCAUAUUUCACAUAUAUUUGAGGCAUGAGGGUUGCUUUUUCACAUCAAAUAUCCACGAUACCGCAAACCAUAUUUCACAUAUGAUAGAAAUCAGCCACAAUGCAUAUGCAUCAUUGACAGGAUGCGUUAUUCUAUAGUGGAAAAAGAGCCCAACAACAGCAAGACGAACUAAAAUGAGUAAUCUGUAUGGGC
rnacentral:lncRNA from 1 species